rnacentral:rRNA from 1 species
GCAUCGAUGAAGAACGCAGCGAAAUGCGAUACUUGGUGUGAAUUGCAGAAUCCCGUGAACCAUCGAGUCUUUGAACGCAAGUUGCGCCCGAAGCCAUUAGGCCGAGGGCACGCCUGCCUGGGCGUCACGCAUCGCGUCGCCCCCUCCCCCCUCGCCACGGGGGGCGGCGGGGCGGAGAUUGGCCCCCCGUGCGCAGCGAUGCGCGCGGCCGGCCCAAACCCGAAUCCGCCGUCGACGCACGUCGCGACCAGUGGUGGUUGAACACUCAACUCGCGUGCUGUCGCGUCCCGAUGCGCCGUCGGCCCGGAGACGACCCCGAAGGAGCGAUCGCGAAUCGCGCCCACGACCGCGACCCCAGGUCA